CCUACGGGUGGCAGCAGUGGGGAAUAUUGCACAAUGGGGGAAACCCUGAUGCAGCGACGCCGCGUGAGUGAAGAAGUAAUUCGUUAUGUAAAGCUCUAUCAGCAGGGAAGAAAAUGACGGUACCUGAGUAAGAAGCCCCGGCUAACUACGUGCCAGCAGCCGCGGUAAUACGUAGGGGGCAAGCGUUAUCCGGAUUUACUGGGUGUAAAGGGGGCGUAGACGGCAGUGCAAGUCUGGAGUGAAAGGCGGGGGCUCAACCCCCGGACUGCUCUGGAAACUGUACGGCUGGAGUGCAGGAGAGGUAAGUGGAAUUCCUAGUGUAGCGGUGAGAUGCGUAGAUAUUAGGAGGAACACCAGUGGCGAAGGCGGCUUACUGGACUGUAACUGACGUUGAGGCUCGAAAGCGUGGGGAGCAAACAGGAUUAGAUACCCCGGUAGUC
rnacentral:rRNA from 1 species